AUUGAACGCUGGCGGCAGGCUUAGCACAUGCAAGUCGAGCGGGGUGAGGUGCUUCGGUACUGAUCCUAGCGGCGGACGGGUGAGUAAUGCUUAGGAAUCUGCCUAUUAGUGGGGGACAACAUUCCGAAAGGAAUGCUAAUACCGCAUACGUCCUACGGGAGAAAGCAGGGGAUCUUCGGACCUUGCGCUAAUAGAUGAGCCUAAGUCGGAUUAGCUAGUUGGUGGGGUAAAGGCCUACCAAGGCGACGAUCUGUAGCGGGUCUGAGAGGAUGAUCCGCCACACUGGGACUGAGACACGGCCCAGACUCCUACGGGAGGCAGCAGUGGGGAAUAUUGGACAAUGGGCGGAAGCCUGAUCCAGCCAUGCCGCGUGUGUGAAGAAGGCCUUUUGGUUGUAAAGCACUUUAAGCGAGGAGGAGGCUACCUAGAUUAAUACUCUGAGAUAGUGGACGUUACUCGCAGAAUAAGCACCGGCUAACUCUGUGCCAGCCGCCGCGGUAAUAC
rnacentral:rRNA from 1 species